AUUCCUUUUCUCACAUGAUCCCAUUUAGAACUAUCCUCUGGCAAACCAUUCUCGCACAUACCAACUUCCAUGCAUGCACCUGCUGAUCCAGCUGAGCGAUUUAGAGCAGCAGAAACUUCUUCCCUAAUUGACCUCUGCAACUCAAGUUGCAUGUCCAUACAGGCUUCCAGCAUCCUCUGCAUGUUAUUCAUCCUUUGUUGUAACCUAGCCAUGUCAAUCCUCAAAUCAUUAAUGAUGUCCCAUUCAAUUCCAAAGCGUUGAUGCAUGUCAUGGUGUGACCAUGUAAAAUGCUGGGACUCCUGGUCCCAGAGCUGCUGUACAGGUGGAAUUGAUGGAGAAGGUAGAGCAAGGGGGGAAUUCUGAACAGAAUCUUGCUGACCCUCAUUCUGAUCCCCACUAUGCUGCUCCAGUUCUUGUUCUGCUGAUGUGGGUGAUGUUCCUUGCAGUUCCCAAUCAAGGGGAGCAUGGCUUUGCCUUUCCACAUAAGAUCGUAUCAAUUGAUCAAGACUCUCACGGAAACCACUACGAAG
rnacentral:misc_RNA from 1 species